rnacentral:rRNA from 1 species
UCCCUACGGGGUGCACCAGGCGCGAAACCUUUACAAUGUGCGAAARCAUGAUAAGGGAACUCCGAGUGCCAGUAUCUAAUACUGGCUGUCCUUGUGCCUAAAACGCACAAGAUAGCAAGGGCCGGGUAAGACCGGUGCCAGCCGCCGCGGUAACACCGGCGGCCCGAGUGGUAGCCGCUAUUAUUGGGUCUAAAGGGUCCGUAGCCGGUUCGAUAAGUCCUCUGGGAAAUCUGGUUGCUUAACAAUCAGACUUCCAAGGGAUACUGUCGAACUUGAGACCGGGAGAGGUAAGAGGUACUUCAGGGGUAGGAGUGAAAUCUUGUAAUCCCUGGGGGACCAUCUGUGGCGAAGGCGUCUUACCAGAACGGGUCUGACGGUGAGGGACGAAAGCUGGGGGCGCAAACCGGAUUAGAUACCCGGGUAGUCCCAGCCGUAAACGAUGCUCGCUAUGUGUCAGGUACGGUGUGACCGUAUCUGGUGCAGUA